GCCAUAUUCCCCUCUCAUAAGGCGUUCAAAAACUAAUGCCCAAUGGAGGAAGCAGCACUGAUUUUCAGCAGAGGUUAGAAAUUCAGGAGAACACUCAGAUGAACAGUUUGAAUUCCACAUUCAUUCAUCAACAGAGUAGCAGGAAAUUGAAAGCUCUACAAGAAAAUAUCAAGUAUUUCCUGAUGAUGACUAAACACGUUUGAAGAGGGUGAAGACAGGAUGCACUCGAUAUGAGAGAUCACGUUUACACUGUAUCUGUCAUACCAAAAUCACAGCU